UACGUAGGGUGCAAGCGUUGUCCGGAAUUAUUGGGCGUAAAGAGCUCGUAGGCGGUUUGUCGCGUCUGCUGUGAAAACUCGGGGCUUAACCCCGGGCCUGCAGUGGGUACGGGCAGACUAGAGUGCGGUAGGGGAGACUGGAAUUCCUGGUGUAGCGGUGAAAUGCGCAGAUAUCAGGAGGAACACCGGUGGCGAAGGCGGGUCUCUGGGCCGUAACUGACGCUGAGGAGCGAAAGCAUGGGGAGCAAACGGG
rnacentral:rRNA from 1 species